ensembl:snRNA Gm26203 predicted gene, 26203
GGUGCUCUCUUCAGCAGACAUAUACUAAAAAAAAAAUCGGAACAAUACAGAGAAGAUUAGCAUGGCCCCUGUACAAGGGUGACACACAAAUUUGUGAAGCGUUCCAUUGAAAG